rnacentral:lncRNA from 1 species
UAAACGUCGACCAUUUUUCCCAAUCCAACUGUUCAGACAUGAAUCUUCCGAAGGAAACCGAUGACGUUAGAGCCCGUUUCAAUGGAUUUCCCUGAAAUCAUAUUAGAAAAAUGUAUCCAACGAUCGCUUAAUUUUGCAAUAAUAUUUUCUAAUUAAUGACAGCAAUCUCUCAAACAAUAAUCUUUCAUGCUUUUCUAAGUUCAGAAAUAAUCAAUUUCAAACAAUUUCACGUCCAAAUUUGAAACCUAAAAGGAAAACAUUCUAAUUAUAGAGAUACUAUUUCCAGAAUCCACCCUACCAGAACCCCAAAUCAUCAUUUAACGGAGAGAGAAAAAAAAAAAAACAAACAAACAAACAAACAAAUGACGUAAAACCCAUAAUCAUUUUAUUCAAACAAUCGGAAACUCAUUUUAGCAAACAUUAAAAAAUGGCAAAACAAAAAUUUAUAUGAGAAGUUUCAGUAGCACUUUUUUACUGACCUGUUUUUCUGCACUUGAAGUAGGAGAAGAAGGUUGAGAGAACGAGCGCCUACGCCAAGCAGAAGAUUCACCCAUUGCUGAUUUUUACAUAAAAAUUAGAGAAAAAAAUCCCACUUGAAUUUCUUGAAUGAAUUAUUCUGUAUCUCGAAAAUCCUUAAAUUGCUGUUCUUCUUUUGAAAUUUGAAUGCAAAUUCAAGGACCCUCUAUAAGAGCAGUUAGAUAAAAAUCAAAUACAGCACAAAAGGGUGUCACUCGCAGAAAGUAAUGGCACAAGGUCUGUGUUUGAAGGUUUCGUGUUUGAAUUCAAUUAACAAUUUAUGGACCGACCAUACUUGCUAUUUCUCC